rnacentral:rRNA from 1 species
UUUAUUUUAAAAUGAAUGUAAUGGAUGUAACACAUCUAAUACUAAGUUUCAACAACGGAUCUCUUGGCUCUCGCAUCGAUGAAGAACGCAGCGAAAUGCGAUAAGUAAUGUGAAUUGCAGAAUUCAGUGAAUCAUCGAAUCUUUGAACGCACCUUGCGCUCCUUGGUAUUCCUUGGAGCAUGCCUGUUUGAGUAUCAUGAAAUCUUCAAAGUCAAACCUUUUGUUAACUCAAUUGGUUCUGCUUUGGUAUUGGAGGUCUAUUGCAGCUUCACACCUGCUCCUCUUUGUGCAUUAGCUGGAUCUCAGUGUUAUGCUUGGUUCCACUCAGCGUGAUAAGUUAUCUAUCGCUGAGGACACCCUGUUAAAAAGGGGUGGCCAAGGUAAAUGCAGAUGAACCGCUUCUAACAGUCCAUUCACUUGGACAAAUAUUAAUUUUAUGAUCUGAUCUCAAAUCAGGUAGGACUACCCGCUGAACUUAAGCAUAUCAAUAAGCGGAGAA